rnacentral:rRNA from 1 species
UACGGAAGGGGGCUAGCGUUGUUCGGAAUUACUGGGCGUAAAGCGCACGUAGGCGGGUCUGUACGUAGGGGGUGAAAUCCCAGGGCUCAACCCUGGAACUGCCUUCUAGACUGCAGGCCUCGAGGUCAGGAGAGGCGAGUGGAAUACCGAGUGUAGAGGUGAAAUUCGUAGAUAUUCGGUGGAACACCAGUGGCGAAGGCGACUCGCUGGACUGAUACUGACGCUGAGGUGCGAAAGCGUGGGGAGCAAACAGG